GUAGAGUUGUAAAAAUUGUAUUCAUAUAUUUAUAAUGUUAUUGUGCUAAGAAUUCGAGGACUAACGUGAUAGAAGGUCUGUGUCUCCAUAAAGCUUGAAGCUAUCCUGAGUUUUAUUCAUUAUGAAGAGAGACGAGAGGAAAGUAUCUUACGGUCAGGCCCGAGGAAAUACAGCAAGAAGUUUAAAUGUUGUUUUAUUCUUGAUGACCAGACGCCUCAAUUUACCCCACCAUCCUCAAAUAGAUUGAAAUAUACCUACUACCUACUACCUGUAUUAUCUUCUAUGGAUUUGUGGGGAAUUUGAGAAGACCUCUGGAACUAUUGCCAAUUUCUGCCAGCUAUUGCCAACCAUUGCCUACUAUUGCCAACCAUUGCCUACUAUUCCCAGCAAGAAAAAAUUCAAAGAACGGAGGAGAAAAGCUGCACCGUUAAUCAUGUUGCGGAGUUCGAAAAGGGAACUCCGAUUCUCAAAGAAUGGAGGUUCGGCUGUAUCCUGUAAGGAUGCGAUUGAGGUGCACCAAACAGUGCACCUAAUGGAGUGAUUUGCGGUGCACCGUUUCUACUCCUCUUUUGGAGCUCUGUUACUACUCCUCUCUUGGAGCUCCGUUACUACUCCUCUUUUGGAGCUCCAUUAUUACUCCGCUCUUGGAGCUCCGUUACUACUUAUCUUAUGGACCUUUAUUACAGCACCCCACCUCCCACUUGGAGCGACCCUACCCUGCC